rnacentral:rRNA from 1 species
GAUGAACGCUGGCGGCGUGCUUAACACAUGCAAGUCGAACGGCAAGGCCCUAGCUUGCUUGUGUUCUCGAGUGGCGGACGGGUGAGUAACACGUGGGUGAUCUGCUCUGCACUUUGGGAUAAGCCUGGGAAACUGGGCCUACUACCGUACAGGACGAGAGCUUGGAUUCCAUUGUGGAAAGUUUUUUCGGUGGGGGAUGAGCUCGCGGCGUAGCAGCUUGUUGGUGGUGUAAUGGCCUACCAGGGCGACGACGGGUAUCCGUCAUGAGAGGGUGUACGUCCACACUGGAACUGAAAUGCGGGCCGGAGUCCUGAGGGAGGCAGCAGUGGGGAAUGUUGGACAAUGGGCGAAAGCGUGAGGGAGGGAGGCCGCGUGGGGGAUGAGGGCUUUCGGGGGGUAAGAACCGUUCGCGGGGGACGCAGCGUUGUUGUGACGGUACCUGGAGAAGAAGCACCGGCUAACUACGUG